UGGGGAAUUUUCCGCAAUGGGCGAAAGCCUGACGGAGCAAUGCCGCGUGAGGGAUGAAGGCCUGUGGGUUGUAAACCUCUUUUCUCAAGGAAGAAAUCUUGACGGUACUUGAGGAAUAAGCAUCGGCUAACUCUGUGCCAGCAGCCGCGGUAAUACAGAGGAUGCAAGCGUUAUCCGGAAUCACUGGGCAUAAAGCGUCUGUAGGUGGCUUAUCAAGUCUGCUGUUAAAGACUAGGGCUUAACCCUAGGAAAGCAGUGGAAACUAGUAAGCUUGAGUGUGGUAGAGGUAGAGGGAAUUCCUGGUGUAGCGGUGAAAUGCGUAGAUAUUAGGAAGAACACCAAUGGCGAAAGCACUCUACUGGGCCAUAACUGACACUAAGAGACGACAGCUAGGGGAGCAAAUGGG
rnacentral:rRNA from 1 species